rnacentral:rRNA from 1 species
CUGGCUCAGGAUGAACGCUAGCGACAGGCUUAACACAUGCAAGUCGAGGGGCAGCAUAAAAGUAGCAAUACUUGGCGGCGACCGGCGCACGGGUGAGUAACGCGUAUGCAACCUACCUAUCAGAGGGGAAUAACCCGGCGAAAGUCGGACUAAUACCGCAUAAAACAGGGGCACCGCAUGGUGAUAUUUGUUAAGGAAAUUCGCUGAUAGAUGGGCAUGCGUUCCAUUAGGUAGUUGGUGAGGUAACGGCUCACCAAGCCGACGAUGGAUAGGGGAACUGAGAGGUUGGUCCCCCACACUGGUACUGAGACACGGACCAGACUCCUACGGGAGGCAGCAGUGAGGAAUAUUGGUCAAUGGGCGGGAGCCUGAACCAGCCAAGUCGCGUGAAGGGAAAGAAGGAUCUAUGGUUCGUAAACUUCUUUUGCAGGGGAAUAAAGUGCAGGACGUGUCCUGUUUUGUAUGUACCCUGAGAAUAAGGAUCGGCUAACUCCGUGCCAGCAGCAGC